rnacentral:lncRNA from 1 species
AGAAUACAGAAUACAAAGGGGAAUAUUGGGCAGAACAUCCUACGAUAAAAAUUUUUUGGGAAGUAUUUCACGAGUUACCAUUGGAAAAGAAGAAACAGUUUCUGUUAUUUUUGACAGGUAGUGAUCGCAUUCCUAUUCUUGGUAUGAAGAGUCUGAAACUAGUCAUCCAGUCCACAGGAGGUGGUGAGGAGUAUCUCCCAGUUUCCCAUACUUGUUUUAAUCUUCUGGAUCUUCCAAAAUAUACAGAAAAAGAAACUCUACGCUCUAAACUGAUCCAAGCUAUUGAUCACAAUGAAGGCUUCAGUUUAAUAUAACUUUGGAGUUAUAGCUAUUCAGUUUAGUGCAAAAGCAUUAAACUAUUUGUGUUUUUCUUGUGGUGAUGAAUUCAGCAAGGUGACAGAGGUACUAUUAUAAUUCUUACUUGCAGAAUGUUCAAUCUACGAGUGUUCAUGGAAGCCAAAAAAUAUUAAAGGAAAAUGAACAAACUGUUAUUAUUGUACAGAACCAUGGAUUUUUUUGACCAUCUUCUAAUAAACAUAGCAAGUAUUAUGAAUACAUUAAAGUUUUACUAACAUGAAUUUUAAGAGUUUGCAUAUUUCAGAAAUGAUCUGGUGUGAGUGCAUGGAAAUAUUGCUUAAUUUUUCUUCAAUCAUUGAGUGAAAAACCUUUAACUUUGGCCUGCAAUAGUCAUUUGAUUAUUUUUUCAUUUUGUAAAUAAUGUUAAGUUUUGUAAUAAAAUAGUUACGUUCUGAUACCAGUACAGUUUCUAUGGUUGUAAUUGAACUUGAACAGACUUUUAAAGGUUAAAAAUUAUGAUUUAAAUCUUACUCUGGGACUCUAUAAAAAGAAAAAAAAGGUAGCAUGGUGGAAACACUAUCUUUUCUUUUUUGCUGGAAUAAGUGUCUUUGUGCAAACCUAAAUCACAGAUAGGGAAUAUACUACAUAACCUGCAGUUCUUUUCUUUGUGAAUCCUGACACACUGAUAGAUGGGGGAUUGCCGAUCAGAGAACUUAUUAAUA